rnacentral:rRNA from 1 species
CAGCAGCCGCGGGAAUACGGAGGGUGCGAGCGUUACCCGGAAUCACUGGGCGUAAAGGGCGCGUAGGCGGCAUGUUAAGUCUGGUUUUAAAGACAGGGGCUCAACCCCUGGAGUGGACUGGAUACUGGCACGCUUGACCUCUGGAGAGGUAACUGGAAUUUCUGGUGUAGCGGUGGAAUGCGUAGAUACCAGAAGGAACACCAAUGGCGAAGGCAAGUUACUGGACAGAAGGUGACGCUGAGGCGCGAAAGUGUGGGGAGCGAACCGGAUUAGAUACCCCGGUAGUCCCUGUCUCUUAUAC